rnacentral:rRNA from 1 species
GGGCCCGCACAAGCGGCGGAGCAUGCGGAUUAAUUCGAUGCAACGCGAAGAACCUUACCAAGGCUUGACAUAUAGAGGAAACGGCUGGAAACAGUCGCCCCGCAAGGUCUCUAUACAGGUGGUGCAUGGUUGUCGUCAGCUCGUGUCGUGAGAUGUUGGGUUAAGUCCCGCAACGAGCGCAACCCUCGUCCUAUGUUGCCAGCACGUAAUGGUGGGAACUCAUGGGAUACUGCCGGGGUCAACUCGGAGGAAGGUGGGGAUGACGUCAAAUCAUCAUGCCCCUUAUGUCUUGGGCUUCACGCAUGCUACAAUGGCCGGUACAAAGGGCUGCAAUACCGCAAGGUGGAGCGAAUCCCAAAAAGCCGGUCUCAGUUCGGAUUGAGGUCUGCAACUCGACCUCAUGAAGUCGGAGUCGCUAGUAAUCGCAGAUCAGCAACGCUGCGGUGAAUACGUUCCCGGGCCUUGUACACACCGCCCGUCAAGUCAUGAAAGUCGGUAACACCCGAAGCCAGUGGCCAAACCCGCAAGGGAUGGAGCUGUCGAAGGUGGGAUCGGUGAUUAGGACU